rnacentral:rRNA from 1 species
AGUGAACGCUGGCGGCGUGCCUAAUACAUGCAAGUCGAACGGAGUGGCGCACGGGUGUGUAAUGUAUAGCUAAUCUGCCCUACACUAGUGGACAACAGUUGGAAACGACUGCUAAUACUCUAUAGUGUAGGAUGAGGCUGUAUUGUAUCAGCUCGUUGGUGAGGUAAUGGCUCACCAAGGCUAUGACGCAUAACUGGUCUGAGAGGAUGAGCAGUAACACUGGAACUGAGACACGGUUCGGGCUCCUACGAGAGGGAGCAGUAGGGAAUAUUGCUCAAUGGGGGUGACCGUGAAGGCGCAUAGCGGCGUGGAGGAUGAUAAGUUUCGAGGAAGAAACUGCUGUUGUUAGGGAAGCGUUACCUAACGAAUAAGCACCGGCUAACUCCGUGCCAGCAGCCGCGGUAAUUC